rfam:Pteropus alecto contig110290, whole genome shotgun sequence.
GUCUACAGCCAUGCUACCCUGAACAAGCCAGAUCCUGUCUGAUCUCAGAAGCUAAGCAGGGUCGUGCCUGGUUAGUACUUGGAUGGGAGACCACCUACAAAGACCAGGUGCUGUCAGGG